CCCGGGGCUCAACCUCGGAACUGCACUCGAAACUGCUUGGCUCGAGUCCCGGAGAGGGUGGCGGAAUUCCCGGUGUAGGGGUGAUAUCCGUAGAUAUCGGGAGGAACACCAGUGGCGAAGGCGGCCACCUGGACGGUGACUGACGCUGAGACGCGAAAGCGUGGGGAGCAAACAGGAUUAGAUAC
rnacentral:rRNA from 1 species